UUAAUGAUUGGUAGAUUGGUAGCGUACGUGUAGAGGAGUCGCGAAGAUCGGCCAUUUUGGGACAGAGACGUCCAGGUGAGAGGCAGGGCUUCUUUUCUGUCCUCUCACGAUUCCAGAUGGCAGGUGUACCGUGGCUACGACCACGUGCAUGGUACUUUGUGCGACACAUGGACAAAUUGGUAGAGGGCGCUUCCAAACCAUGAUGUGAAGUUCAGUGCAGAGAACAACAGCAUAGCAGGACCAAGAUGGCGGCCGGUACAUCCACCGUGACCUGAUACCCACAAGGUCAAUGGAUGACCUUCAAUCGCGUACAGCGACCUUCAAGUGAGGACUACAGUCGAGAUGACGUGACUGUACCAAAAGGAGAAAACGCACGCUGGCUAUCACGUGAUCCUGCAGCCGUUACCGGUGUCAAGGUCGCAACCUUUCACCCAGAGGUCAGCUGCCCAACGACCUUUCUCCCAGUGAGAGCAUCUCUCCAAGGGUCAAAGUUCAAUCAACGACUAUCAGUAACAAUAGCAUCAUACUCCCCAUUGUCGACAAUGAGGGUGUUUUUUAAUUUUGUUAUUCAGAAAAAAUAUGGUUGGCGGGGAAGAUACAAUGUCAUGUAAACUGAAGAAACAAUAAAGAUAUUUGAACGUAUACAAA